CACUACAGGCACCCAAAGGCCAGCCCGCAUUCAAGAGAGGGCUUGAGGAUCACCGUUUUGACUGUUGGCAGAGGAAGGAACAUCUUUCAGAGGCCAAGGUGCUGUGUGCAAUCGUGGAGGGGUGAAGCUGCUUCCUGAUGAGCAGUCCUCGGAGGUGCAGUGGAGGGCUCUCCUCAAAAGUGGCUGAGGAUUUCAGAUUAGGCUGGGUAGGAAAGAGAGGAGCGGCAUGGCUGGUGAUCACUUUCAAACACAAUGGUCACUUUGGUUUUCCAGGUGCCACAGGUAAUAUGCCAACCACACCAAUCUCACUGUAGAAUCAGAGUGGAGAAGGUGAGUGGAGUGACUUGGUGGUUCUGAGGAGGGUGUUCUUGAGGAAGAGGUCUGUGGUGGCUGGCAUGACAGCGACUGAUGGUGCUCUAUUAUUGUAGAUGUUGAAGAGGAACGUGGUGAUUGCAGGAACAUCCUGGUUAGAUGACAUGGUCCUUAUCAAGAAUGGGUUCUGAUCCCCUGGGCACUCUGAAAGCUAAGUUGAGGGGCAAAUGCUAUGUCAGGGUGGGGGAAGGAUAGGAAUUGGAUGAUGCAGCAGGCAGGGUCUUUAAAGUCAGUGCUGUGGAGAGGGCUGCUCAGGAUCAGUUGUGUUUGGGUGCAGACAGAGGGUGCAUGGUCUGUUCCGCAUGAUGCAAGCCUUUUCUGGGCAAGGCAGUUCCAGCCUGUGUCUGUGUUGCCAGUGUAGUUUGCAUAGUCUGUGUUCUGUCCUAUGCCAUACUUUCUGCAGGUCUUGAUGACCCCAUUGCUCUUUGCGCUCGGUGAGCAGAGCAAUGAGCAGUGCGACUGAGGAGGCGAGGAGAGUGCCGUAAGAAUGUGGGGUAUCGGAGAGCGGAGCACCACUGCUGGUGGCUGUGACCAUUUUAUGCUGGUUUUGUUUCUGUUUUGAAGGUAUGAAGCGACAUGGGAAAUGGGAUGACUGCGUGGGAGCUGACUCAUGCAAGAUGGUGCGCAGGCCUCAAUGGGGCAGCCUGAAGAAUCAGACUCGGGGCCAUCGAGCAGCUGUGGUUAAGGAGCAGGAGAGAAGAACCGCUGCAGGCAACCUGUGCUUUUGGGCAGUAUGCAAGCAUGUGCUUUUCCUAUCUUUUUUUUUGCAGGUGCUGCAUGCAGUACCAGAGGGCUGAAGCCAGAUGCUGAUGAGCAGUCUGACAAGGCACCAUGCAUGUUCUCUUCAGAAAUGGCUGAGGAUUUGAGGUGCCAUGGGAGCUGCUGGACUCAACAUCUGAUUUUGGGAGGCAGGGAGUGACUGGCAGCACUUUGUUUUGCAGACUACAGAGAAACCUGGCGCUUGCAGGAGCUUCCUGAUUAGAUGGUGUGGUCCUUGUCGAGGAUGGAU